GACGAACGCUGGCGGCGUGCCUAACACAUGCAAGUCGAACGGAAAGGCCCUGCUUUUGUGGGGUUCUCGAGUGGCGAACGGGUGAGUAACACGUGUGUAACCUGUCCCUGACUUUGGGAUAACUUCAGGUGACAGCGGCUCUUAUCGGGUAUGAGCUCCUGCAGCACGGUGGGGGUUGGUUAGUUUCGGCGGUUGGUGAUGUACUCGCGGCUUAUGAGCUUGAUGGGGGGGUAGUGGCUUACCAUGUCUAUGACGGGUAGCCGGCCUGGGAGGGUGACCGGCCACAUUAGGACUGAGAUACGGACCAGACGCGAACGUGAGGCAGCGGUGGAGAGUAUGACACAAUAGGCGGGAGCCUGAGAUGACGGCGCCGCGUGCGGGAAGACGGGCUUCGGGUUGGGAACCGAUUUCGCCUGAGACGAGGAGUGAGUGACGGUAAUGGGUGAAGAAGCACCGGCUAACUACGUG
rnacentral:rRNA from 1 species